rnacentral:rRNA from 1 species
GACGAACGCUGGCGGCGUGCCUAAUACAUGCAAGUAGAACGCUGAAGGAGGAGCUUGCUUCUCUGGAUGAGUUGCGAACGGGUGAGUAACGCGUAGGUAACCUGCCUGGUAGCGGGGGAUAACUAUUGGAAACGAUAGCUAAUACCGCAUAAGAGUAGAUGUCGCAUGACAUUUGCUUAAAAGGUGCAAUUGCAUCACUACCAGAUGGACCUGCGUUGUAUUAGCUAGUUGGUGAGGUAACGGCUCACCAAGGCAACGAUACAUAGCCGACCUGAGAGGGUGAUCGGCCACACUGGGACUGAGACACGGCCCAGACUCCUACGGGAGGCAGCAGUAGGGAAUCUUCGGCAAUGGACGGAAGUCUGACCGAGCAACGCCGCGUGAGUGAAGAAGGUUUUCGGAUCGUAAAGCUCUGUCGUAAGAGAAGAACGAGUGUGAGAGUGGAAAGUUCACACUGUGACGGUAUCUUACCAGAAAGGGACGGCUAACUACGUG